rnacentral:rRNA from 1 species
GACGAACGCUGGCGGCGUGCUUAACACAUGCAAGUCGAACGGAAAGGCCCUGCUUUUGUGGGGUGCUCGAGUGGCGAACGGGUGAGUAACACGUGAGUAACCUGCCCUUAGGUUCGGAAUAACUCCCCGAAAGGGGUGCUAAUACCGGAUAAUGUCUUCGGACCAAAGAUUUAUCGCCUUUGGAUGGGCCCGCGUUGGAUUAGCUAGUUGGUAGGGUAAAAGCCUACCAAGGCGACGAUCCAUAGCUGGUCUGAGAGGAUGAUCAGCCACACUGGGACUGAGACACGGCCCAGACUCCUACGGGAGGCAGCAGUGGGGAAUAUUGGACAAUGGGCGAAAGCCUGAUCCAGCAAUGCCGCGUGAGUGAUGAAGGCCUUAGGGUUGUAAAGCUCUUUUACCCGGGAUGAUAAUGACAGUACCGGGAGAAUAAGCGCCGGCUAACUCCGUG